GGAAUUGUAACUUAGAGGUAGAAUGUGUGCUUUGCAUGUACAAGGUACUAGGUUCAAUUCCUAGCCCCA
rnacentral:tRNA from 1 species